rnacentral:lncRNA from 1 species
AGAAGGCCUCUAUUUAUAGAGAUGAAAAUGAAGACAAGUAGCAACUUUGUUUGAACAAGAAGCAACUUGUUUGAACAAGUAGCAACCUUAUCUGAACAAGUAGCAACUUGUUUGAACAAGUAGCAAUCUUGUUUGACAAGUCCAAAAAAUAAUCUUCCACAAGUAUUUGGUAGAAACUUCUUUUGACAAAGUAAGAGUGAAUCAAACAAAGGCCACAUUACACGCUAAGAAUAGAAAUGUAUCUAUUAUUUGACAUAGAACUGAUGUUGAAACAUGAGCAUUUGCAUAAAAACUUAGAAAUAUUGCAGAAGCCACAUUUUUUCAAGUACCUGCAAGUUUGUUAUAUAUAAAAAAAAGGUUAAGCAUUAAAAGAUAUAUAUCUAAAUAUGUUAGAAAAAAAAAAAAGUAAUACUCUCUAAAAUUUGC